rnacentral:rRNA from 1 species
UUCAUUGAGGCUUUGGCGGAUUUGGUCUGUUUCUAGUGGCGGACGGGUGAGUAACGCGUGGGUAACCUGCCUUAUACUGGGGGAUAACAGCCAGAAAUGACUGCUAAUACCGCAUAAGCGCACAGAACCGCAUGGUUCGGUGUGAAAAACUCCGGUGGUAUAAGAUGGACCCGCGUUGGAUUAGCUAGUUGGCAGGGCAGCGGCCUACCAAGGCGACGAUCCAUAGCCGGCCUGAGAGGGUGAACGGCCACAUUGGGACUGAGACACGGCCCAGACUCCUACGGGAGGCAGCAGUGGGGAAUAUUGCACAAUGGGGGAAACCCUGAUGCAGCGACGCCGCGUGAAGGAAGAAGUAUCUCGGUAUGUAAACUUCUAUCAGCAGGGAAGAUAAUGACGGUACCUGACUAAGAAGCCCCGGCUAACUACGUGCCAGCAGCCGCGGUAAUACGUAGGGGGCAAGCGUUAUCCGGAUUUACUGGGUGUAAAGGGAGCGUAGACGGCGCAGCAAGUCUGAUGUGAAAGGCAGGGGCUUAACCCCUGGACUGCAUUGGAAACUGCUGUGCUUGAGUGCCGGAGGGGUAAGCGGAAUUCCUAGUGUAGCGGUGAAAUGCGUAGAUAUUAGGAGGAAC